CCCAUUACUGACUGUGAAUUGAUCAGUUAUUUACUUGCAGGUUUGGGUCUUGAAUAUGAUUUAUUAAUCAGAUCCCUCACUAUACGAAUUGAUCCGAUGCUUCUCCAAGAAGUCUAUGACCAUCUCCUUAAUUAUGAGC